rnacentral:rRNA from 1 species
AGAACGAACGCUGGCGGCAGGCUUAACACAUGCAAGUCGAGCGCCCAGCAAUGGGAGCGGCGGACGGGUGAGUAACACGUGGGAACAUGCCUUUCGGUACGGAACAACUUCGGGAAACUGAAGCUAAUGCCGUAUGCGCCCUUACGGGGAAAGAUUUAUCGCCGAAAGAUUGGCCCGCGUCUGAUUAGCUAGUUGGUGAGGUAACGGCUCACCAAGGCUUCGAUCAGUAGCUGGUUUGAGAGAACGACCAGCCACACUGGGACUGAGACACGGCCCAGACUCCUACGGGAGGCAGCAGUGGGGAAUCUUGGACAAUGGGGGAAACCCUGAUCCAGCCAUGCCGCGUGAGUGAUGAAGGCCUUCGGGUUGUAAAACUCUUUUACCAGGAAGAUAAUGACUGUACCUGGAGAAGUAAGCCCCGGCUAACUACGCGCCAGCAGCCGC